ACUCCUACGGGAGGCGGCAGUAAGGAAUCUUCCACAAUGGACGAAAGUCUGAUGGAGCAACGCCGCGUGAGUGAAGAAGGGUUUCGGCUCGGAAAGCUCUGUUGGUAGUGAAGAAAGAUAGAGGUAGUAACUGGCCUUUAUUUGACGGUAAUUACUUAGAAAGUCACGGCUAACUACGUGCCAGCAGCCGCGGUAAUA
rnacentral:rRNA from 1 species